CGCCCUACGGGGCGCAGCAGUGGGGAAUAUUGCACAAUGGGGGAAACCCUGAUGCAGCAACGCCGCGUGAGUGAAGAAGUAUUUCGGUAUGUAAAGCUCUAUCAGCAGGGAAGAAAAUGACGGUACCUGAGUAAGAAGCCCCGGCUAACUACGUGCCAGCAGCCGCGGUAAUACGUAGGGGGCAAGCGUUAUCCGGAUUUACUGGGUGUAAAGGGAGCGUAGACGGCGAUACAAGUCUGAAGUAAAGGCCCGG
rnacentral:rRNA from 1 species